CUGUUCAUCCUCCCCCGCUAAUUCCAGCAGAGCGGCCGUCUCCGAGGAGCCGGCGGCCCCGCUGGCCGAGAGGCCCGGGUCGGCCACGCUGCCGUAGCCGGUGUCGCCGACGUUCAGUGGCAUGGGGCUCGGCUGCAGGCUUGGUGACUCUUCCUGGUGCCCUUCAGUGCUUACUUGCUGGUGAUGCCGCCCCCUGGAGGUAGUCCUGGUAUCUCCUCCUCUGCCAGGAUCUUGAUCACAUACACAAGCUCUUCCUCAUGCUGCAGGGCCUCUUGUGACACCUUAGGGGCGCCAGGGAGGCACACUAUGAUGAUGCUGAUGUUGUCCAAACUGCCCUGCAGGGGGCAACAGAUUCAUAUUGGUUUAUUCCAAAUGAUAUGUACCUGUGGCGAGGAUGUGGUCCAGCAGGUUCCUGGAGCAGUACUGGGCCACGGUGCUCCCCGCAUGGCCGUCAAACACUGCGAAGUAGGCCCACUGGUUCAGCUCGCCUCUCAUUUGAGGCAUGCACGUGUGGGCGUCCUCCAUCUGAGCUCUCCAGCCCUGCAUGCUCGCCACCGCAUAGUUCACCCCUGACUGAGACCACCCCUCGGACACGUGCUUCUCCAGGAUGGGUCUCUCCAGCUGUCGGAGGAAGGAGGGCACCUCCACAUUGCUGGCUCUCCGCGCCGUCCUCAUUGCGCCUCUGAGACGCUGCUUGAGCUUCUUGCUGGACCUGGCUGCCACGAGCCUCCUCCUCCUGGUGAACCUGCGCCGGC